UGCAGCCUGCAACUCGGCUGCAUGAAGCUGGAAUCGCUAGUAAUCGCGGAUCAGAAUGCCGCGGUGAAUACGUUCCCGGGUCUUGUACACACCGCCCGUCACACCAUGGGAGCCGGGAAUGCCCGAAGUCAGUGGCCCAACCGCAGGGAGGGAGCUGCCGAAGGCAGGCCUGGUGACUGGGGUGAAGUCGUAACAAGGUACC
rnacentral:rRNA from 1 species